CAAUAGCGUAUAUUAAAGUUGUUGCAGUUAAAAAGCCCGUAGUUGGAUUUCUGGUAGGAGUGACCGUUCCGAACUUGAUUGUUCGUGUAUUGUGUUUUCUCCAGCCAUCCUUGUGGAGAACUUUUCUUGCAUUAAUUUGUAGGGAUUGGGACCCGCAUCGUUUACUGUGAAAAAAUUAGAGUGUUUAAAGCAGGCAAUCGCUUGAAUACAUUAGCAUGGAAUAAUAAGAUAGGACUUUGGUACUAUUUUGUUGGUUUGCAUACCAAAUUAAUGAUCAACAGGAACAGUUUGAGGAUAUUCGUAUGAACAUGUCAGAGGUGAAAUUCUUGGAUUUUGAUCAGACGAACUACUGCGAAAGCAUUUAUCAAGGAUGUUUUCAUUAA
rnacentral:rRNA from 1 species